rnacentral:pre_miRNA from 1 species
AUAAAAUCGACCGUCGGUCUACCGAGCAAUAUCACCCGCUCGGUGGAAGAUCUUUCCUUUCGU